rnacentral:rRNA from 1 species
UGGAGAGUUUGAUCCUGGCUCAGGACGAACGCUGGCGGCGUGCUUAACACAUGCAAGUCGAACGGAAAGGCCCCUUCGGGGGUGCUCGAGUGGCGAACGGGUGAGUAACACGUGGGUGAUCUGCCCUGCACUCUGGGAUAAGCUUGGGAAACUGGGUCUAAUACCGGAUAGGACCAUGGGAUGCAUGUUCUGUGGUGGAAAGCUUUUGCGGUGUGGGAUGGGCCCGCGGCCUAUCAGCUUGUUGGUGGGGUGAUGGCCUACCAAGGCGACGACGGGUAGCCGGCCUGAGAGGGUGUCCGGCCACACUGGGACUGAGAUACGGCCCAGACUCCUACGGGAGGCAGCAGUGGGGAAUAUUGCACAAUGGGCGCAAGCCUGAUGCAGCGACGCCGCGUGGGGGAUGACGGCCUUCGGGUUGUAAACCUCUUUCAGUAUCGGCGAAGCUCCGUGGUUUUCUGCGGGGUGACGGUAGGUACAGAAGAAGCACCGGCCAACUACGUGCCAGCAGCCGCGGUA